UGGGUGAUGGGAAGAUUGAGGUGGGCCGCCCCCUGUGUCUACACCAUUGAUGUCACCUUCCCGAAGCCUCUGACCGUUAAUGAGCUCCCCUUUACGAACUUCUACACGGCGUUCCUGACGGUGAGGAUCCAGCAGAAGAAGCACUCCGACCCCAA